UUAAGCGACUAAGCGUACACGGUGGAUGCCCUGGCAGUCAGAGGCGAUGAAGGACGUGCUAAUCUGCGAUAAGCGUCGGUAAGGUGAUAUGAACCGUUAUAACCGGCGAUUUCCGAAUGGGGAAACCCAGUGUGUUUCGACACACUAUCAUUAACUGAAUCCAUAGGUUAAUGAGGCGAACCGGGGAACUGAAACAUCUAAGUACCCCGAGGAAAGAAAUCAACCGAGAUUCCCCCAGUAGCGGCGAGCGAACGGGGAGGAGCCCAGAGCCUGAAUCAGUGUGUGUGUUAGUGGAAGCGUCUGGAAAGGCGCGCGAUACAGGGUGACAGCCCCGUACACAAAAAUGCACAUACUGUGAGCUCGAUGAGUAGGGCGGGACACGUGGUAUCCUGUCUGAAUAUGGGGGGACCAUCCUCCAAGGCUAAAUACUCCUGACUGACCGAUAGUGAACCAGUACCGUGAGGGAAAGGCGAAAAGAACCCCGGCGAGGGGAGUGAAAAAGAACCUGAAACCGUGUACGUACAAGCAGUGGGAGCACAGAGCAAUCUGUGUGACUGCGUACCUUUUGUAUAAUGGGUCAGCGACUUAUAUUCUGUAGCAAGGUUAACCGAAUAGGGGAGCCGAAGGGAAACCGAGUCUUAACUGGGCGUUAAGUUGCAGGGUAUAGACCCGAAACCCGGUGAUCUAGCCAUGGGCAGGUUGAAGGUUGGGUAACACUAACUGGAGGACCGAACCGACUAAUGUUGAAAAAUUAGCGGAUGACUUGUGGCUGGGGGUGAAAGGCCAAUCAAACCGGGAGAUAGCUGGUUCUCCCCGAAAGCUAUUUAGGUAGCGCCUCGUGAAUUCAUCUCCGGGGGUAGAGCACUGUUUCGGCAAGGGGGUCAUCCCGACUUACCAACCCGAUGCAAACUGCGAAUACCGGAGAAUGUUAUCACGGGAGACACACGGCGGGUGCUAACGUCCGUCGUGAAGAGGGAAACAACCCAGACCGCCAGCUAAGGUCCCAAAGUCAUGGUUAAGUGGGAAACGAUGUGGGAAGGCCCAGACAGCCAGGAUGUUGGCUUAGAAGCAGCCAUCAUUUAAAGAAAGCGUAAUAGCUCACUGGUCGAGUCGGCCUGCGCGGAAGAUGUAACGGGGCUAAACCAUGCACCGAAGCUGCGGCAGCGACGCUGAUGCGUUGUUGGGUAGGGGAGCGUUCUGUAAGCCUGCGAAGGUGUGCUGUGAGGCAUGCUGGAGGUAUCAGAAGUGCGAAUGCUGACAUAAGUAACGAUAAAGCGGGUGAAAAGCCCGCUCGCCGGAAGACCAAGGGUUCCUGUCCAACGUUAAUCGGGGCAGGGUGAGUCGACCCCUAAGGCGAGGCCGAAAGGCGUAGUCGAUGGGAAACAGGUUAAUAUUCCUGUACUUGGUGUUACUGCGAAGGGGGGACGGAGAAGGCUAUGUUGGCCGGGCGACGGUUGUCCCGGUUUAAGCGUGUAGGCUGGUUUUCCAGGCAAAUCCGGAAAACUAAGGCUGAGGCGUGAUGACGAGGCACUACGGUGCUGAAGCAACAAAUGCCCUGCUUCCAGGAAAAGCCUCUAAGCAUCAGGUAACAUCAAAUCGUACCCCAAACCGACACAGGUGGUCAGGUAGAGAAUACCAAGGCGCUUGAGAGAACUCGGGUGAAGGAACUAGGCAAAAUGGUGCCGUAACUUCGGGAGAAGGCACGCUGAUAUGUAGGUGAAGUCCCUCGCGGAUGGAGCUGAAAUCAGUCGAAGAUACCAGCUGGCUGCAACUGUUUAUUAAAAACACAGCACUGUGCAAACACGAAAGUGGACGUAUACGGUGUGACGCCUGCCCGGUGCCGGAAGGUUAAUUGAUGGGGUUAGCGCAAGCGAAGCUCUUGAUCGAAGCCCCGGUAAACGGCGGCCGUAACUAUAACGGUCCUAAGGUAGCGAAAUUCCUUGUCGGGUAAGUUCCGACCUGCACGAAUGGCGUAAUGAUGGCCAGGCUGUCUCCACCCGAGACUCAGUGAAAUUGAACUCGCUGUGAAGAUGCAGUGUACCCGCGGCAAGACGGAAAGACCCCGUGAACCUUUACUAUAGCUUGACACUGAACAUUGAGCCUUGAUGUGUAGGAUAGGUGGGAGGCUUUGAAGUGUGGACGCCAGUCUGCAUGGAGCCGACCUUGAAAUACCACCCUUUAAUGUUUGAUGUUCUAACGUGGACCCGUAAUCCGGGUUGCGGACAGUGUCUGGUGGGUAGUUUGACUGGGGCGGUCUCCUCCUAAAGAGUAACGGAGGAGCACGAAGGUUGGCUAAUCCUGGUCGGACAUCAGGAGGUUAGUGCAAUGGCAUAAGCCAGCUUGACUGCGAGCGUGACGGCGCGAGCAGGUGCGAAAGCAGGUCAUAGUGAUCCGGUGGUUCUGAAUGGAAGGGCCAUCGCUCAACGGAUAAAAGGUACUCCGGGGAUAACAGGCUGAUACCGCCCAAGAGUUCAUAUCGACGGCGGUGUUUGGCACCUCGAUGUCGGCUCAUCACAUCCUGGGGCUGAAGUAGGUCCCAAGGGUAUGGCUGUUCGCCAUUUAAAGUGGUACGCGAGCUGGGUUUAGAACGUCGUGAGACAGUUCGGUCCCUAUCUGCCGUGGGCGCUGGAGAACUGAGGGGGGCUGCUCCUAGUACGAGAGGACCGGAGUGGACGCAUCACUGGUGUUCGGGUUGUCAUGCCAAUGGCACUGCCCGGUAGCUAAAUGCGGAAGAGAUAAGUGCUGAAAGCAUCUAAGCACGAAACUUGCCCCGAGAUGAGUUCUCCCUGACUCCUUGAGAGUCCUGAAGGAACGUUGAAGACGACGACGUUGAUAGGCCGGGUGUGUAAGCGCAGCGAUGCGUUGAGCUAACCGGUACUAAUGAACCGUGAGGCUUAACCU
rnacentral:rRNA from 1 species